GUUUCUGUAGUGUAGUGGUUAUCUCAUUCGCUUUACGCGCGGACCCAACCGUCCUGGUUCGAAACCGGGCGAAGCA